AAAUGAGAACUUUGAAGACUAAAGUGGGGAAAGGUUCCAUGUGAAUAGCACUUGGACAUGGGUUAGUCGAUCCUAAGAGAUGGGGAAGCCCUGUAUCAAGGGUGCACUCUGCACGAACAUCUAAAGGGAAUCAAGUUAAUAUUCCUGAAAUGAGACAUGGCAGUGGACGACAACGUUAGGAAAUCCGGAGACGUCGUUGGGGGCCCUGGGAAGAGUUAUAUUUUCUUUUUAAUAGCUUGCCCACCCUGAAAUUGGCUCAACCAGAGAGAGGGUCUAGUAGCUGGAAGAGAAUCACACAUCUUAUGGUGUCCAGUGCGCCCUCGGUGGCCCUUGAAAAUUUGGAGGAACGAGUAAUGUCCAUGCCCGGUCGUACUCAUAACCGCAUCAGGUCUCCAAGGUGAAAAACCUCUAGUCAAUAGAAUAAUGUAGGUAAGGGAAGUCGAAAAAAUGGAUCCGUAACUUUGGGAAAAGGAUUGGCUCCGAGGGUUGGGCCUAGGGGACUGCGUCCUCAACUCGUGGGUUGUUGGG
rnacentral:ncRNA from 1 species